UACGAAGGGUGCAAGCGUUAAUCGGAAUUACUGGGCGUAAAGCGCGCGUAGGUGGUUCAGUAAGUUGAAUGUGAAAGCCCCGGGCUCAACCUGGGAACUGCAUCCAAAACUGCUGAGCUAGAGUAUGGUAGAGGGUAGUGGAAUUUCCUGUGUAGCGGUGAAAUGCGUAGAUAUAGGAAGGAACACCAGUGGCGAAGGCGACUACCUGGACUGAUACUGACACUGAGGUGCGAAAGCGUGGGGAGCAAACAGG
rnacentral:rRNA from 1 species